CCCCUCUCAGGGUCGCACCUGGAGAGUUUCCAGUACUCUACCAGUCUCGGCUAUGGGAGGGAAAGUCAAGCAGAGGCCUAACCAUUCCAUUCCUAGAGCAGGCAGGGGCUAGCGAGUGGAAGGCAAUCUGAUACAAAU